rnacentral:misc_RNA from 1 species
GGAUGAAGAACGUAGCGAAAUGCGAUAAUUAAUGUGAAUUGCAGAAUUCCGUGAAUCAUCGAGUCUUUGAACGCACAUUGCGCCUCAUGGCAUUCCGUGAGGCAUGCCCAUCUCAGCGUUAGAAAAUAUUCUCAAAUUUUAGUUUUGUGCUAAAAUUUGGAUCAUGUCAAGGAAGCUAUUACUUAUUGUGAUCGCUCUUUGGAAAUUGAUAGGUCUUUGAGUUGCUACUCAUAGAACGUGAUGAAUCUUUCUUCGUUCUAUUGUAAUUCACUCUGGUAGUCCUAAAACUUGUAUGCCUGUGGCAUAUCUUGUAAUUUGACCUGAGAUUGGGUAGGGAUACCCGCUGAACUUAAGCAUAUCAAUAAGCGGAGGA